rnacentral:lncRNA from 1 species
AGUCACUUCCCUCUCUGGGCCUCAUUUCCCCCAUUUGUAAAGCGAAGCCUUUGCAGGCAGAUGUGCAAGAGUUGGAUCCCAGACAUUGUCCGAGAUAUUGGGCAAGUUCUUCCCCAGGUGGAGCCUCAGUUUCCAUCUCAGGGCCCUGAAGGCACUGAGGUGCUUUUUGAGAUUUUAGGCCUAAGUUGCAGAGUGGCAGGGAGGUGUGUGUGUGUGUGUGUGUCUGUCUGUCUGUCUACAGGAUGGUCUGCAGAGUAAGGAGAAGAGUUGGCUCUGGGGGCCCAUCCAGGAAGGGUCUGGGUAAACCCAGAUUAUAGUGGGGUGGAGUGUGCUUGUCUUGGUCCUCCAGGAUCCUAGAGCCUUUGAGAUGGGGAAGUUUUAUAUAGGUCUCCAUAGAGACAGAAGAGGAAGGAAUCCUUGGAGCCUCUUGGGGUUUUGAUUGAAAUUUAGGCCCAAAAGAGUUCAGGUGGACUAGGAGGAGGAAGGGGAACAUUUAUGGUGCUCCUACUAUGUGUCAUACCUGGUUUAGGCAUAUGUUCUUAUUUAAUUUUUACAGCUACCCUUGAGAAUUUGCACAUAAGGAAACUUAAAUUUCAGAGGAGUUAAGUAACUUGCCCAAGGUCACACAGUAAAGUGCAAUGCUUACCAACACGAAGGUGUUUCCUUUGAGAAUCAUUGAGCCAGGGAGAAUUCACUGUCCACUUAAAGGAAGUUUGCUUUGUCACACAUUGGGGGAGAGGUCGGGUCCUAGACACUUGAACUGACUUUUGAAAAAAAAUUCAUUUUACUGAAGUAUAGUUGAGUUACUUGAAUUCUGGCAUGGGGACAGGCUGGGUCUUGAUCUCUAGACAGUAAAUUGUAACCCUUUGUUCAGCCUGUGAGUUGAAAAGGACCAUUUCUAAAUUGUAAAAGUCACAUUGAAGUGUGUCAGAACCUCAGCAAACUCAGUUUGAAUCCUUGCUGUGUGGCCUGUACAAGAAAGUUCACCAACUAUUGGUGCAUAGACUUGAUUCUCAAUUCAGAGUUGAUGCCAGGCUAGUAACUUUUUCUUUUCCCCAAAAAGGCCAAGUUUUCCUGGGAUGGAUGAAAUUCCGUAUUUGUUAGUGCAAAUUUCUUUUGAUUGCCAGGGUGAAAGUUUCAGUAGCCGGACUCUUGAUUAAGUGAAAUGCUCCUUUAUUUGUGCUUCCUGUUAUUUGACUUCUAGAUGAUGAAAAUUGUGGACCUAGAGUGGGUACUAUAAAUUGCAGCCCGAAAUUUUUCCAAGCCUCAGAGCUUUUGGUUAAUCAAAAUGGUAGGACGGCAGUGUGUAUUGUACUCAUAUGUCAGUGGUAGGGAAGAAAAUUGGAAGAGGAAGUUGCUGAGAAAGAGGGCGUUUCUUAGCAGUGGAGCCAAUAUGUAUUUCUUUGUUUGAAAUUCUAAAACCAGAAAAGCAGCAACUGAAGGAGGAAGGAAGGAAAGAACUCUGAAACUCCUCUUCCCGUUGAAAUACCUUUAGACUGUCCCUGUUACUGUCCCGUCUGAGGCUCUGCUUUCAUGGAAAAAGUCAAUUGUAAUUUGUUCAAUGUUCAGAAGUUGUAUUCUAGAAUGAAAGAAUUUUAAAUCUUAAACCGUCUGAUUUAAUGAAAAAAAAUCAGAACACCUUACUGAAUACGUUACUUAUCAGUAGAUGAUUCUUUUUCUCAACAUAAUUACCAGUUGUGGUCUUUGGGUUUCUUUUUUUAAAAAACUGAUUUAAAUUAGUGAAUUGCAGGAGUUCCCCUGUGGCUCAGCUGUAAUGAACCUGACUAGUAUCCACGAGGACGCAGGUUCAAUCCCUGGCCUCUCUCAGUGGGUUAAGGAUCCAAUGUUGCCGUGAGCUGUGGUGUAGGUUGCAGACGCGACUCCGAUCCCAUGUUGCUGUGGCUGUGGUGUGGGUCAGCAGCUACAGCUCCAAUUCAACCCCUAGCCUGAACUUCCAUAUGCCUUGGGUGAGGCCAUAAAAAGGCAACAACAACAAAAUGAGUGGAUUUCAACCUAAGAGGAAUUGAUCUAGGUAUUGGAUGAUGCAGAUAUCACCAUCACUUGAAAAACAUGUAAUGGUGUGUUCGGUUUUUGACAUUUGUUAGAAGUCUUUAUAAUGCUUUAUUUUUAUGGGAUUGUCUGUGUUAAUAGUUAAGACAUUGAAUUUAUUGCUUGUGAAAAUCUACCCAUUCAGUCUCUGUAUUAGUUAUAUUUUCUGUAUAAGAUUUAAUCUUAAUUACUGUACCAGCCUACAGUACCUUGGGAUCAAAAGAAAAAAGUUCUUGAGGCCAAAUGUGCUUCUGAAUUGAGAAUUUUUUGGAUUUUAGAAAAGGAGUAUGGUGCAUGUUCUAUAUGUCAUCUAAUAUCCCAGAGAGGUGUAGGGCAGCAGCUGCAUUAUUAUUUCUGCAGUAAAAUGUCAGACUGUUCACAGGAACUGCAGUAAAAACCAUAAAUAGCCUCAUGUCAUUUCACAUCAGGAUUUGUCACCAAAUAAAUAAUGAGAAACUUUUUUAUAGCCCUUUGGAUUUUGGAAUUGAAAUUAAGGGAUUCCGGACUUUUAUGGGUGAAACAUACAAUGACAAGAACAAGGACAGAUUUUGUAAACCAAGCUCUAUUUGAGUCAUCAGUCCUAAAAAUAGUAUCAGAAGACACUUUUCUUCUUUUGUUUCAUGUGACAGUCUUGUUGUAUUUUGGCUGCACCUGAGACAGGUGUAAGUUCCCUGGCCAGGGAUCAAACCCACGCCACAGCAGCGAUCCAAGCCCCUGCAUUGAAAAUGCUGGAUCCUUAACCCACUGUCACACAAGAGAACUACUCAUGUGACAGCCUUAUUCUGAUUAUGCCAAUAUGCAUUUUUCCGUAAGUACCUAAUUUUACCUUUUAAUACCAUCAUUGGUCCCUAUUUUAGAUGUUUGAAUGACACCUUGCUCUCUUUAAAAAAAAAAAAAAUUAUUUAUUUAUUGGUCUUUUUGUCUUUCAGGGCCGCACCUGCAGCACAUGAAGUUCCUGGGCUAGGGGUUGUAUCGGAGCUGCAGCUGAGACUCAUGCCACAGCCACAGCCACAGCCACACCAGAUCUUAGCUGCAUCUGUGUCCUAUGCUGCUUGCGGCAACACUGGAUCCUUAAACCACUGAGUGAGUCCAGGGAUCAAAUCCAAGUCCUCAUAGAGGGUUGGGUUCUUAACUUGCUGAGCUACAAUGGGAACUCCAAAAUUAAAACAUUUUUAAUUUAUUAUGCCUUUUGGUAAGAUACAUACAUACAUAUAGAGUAUUUAAUUUAAGGUAUUUUUUAUUUCAAGUGUAUGCCGUAUGAAAAACUAGAUUUUACCAGCCUUAUGAAUUUGAUUUCUUUAAAUGGCCAAGGACCUCUAGAAGCAAAUUUAUAAACAUUCAGUCUACUCUUUACUUUUCUUGGACACUUCAACUGUAGACUGAGGUGGACUGGUAUUGUUGGAGGUUAAAUAAUUAUUUCUUCUCUUUAAAAGAAGGCCCAUGACAGUUUGAAUUUGAGAGAUUCUGGCCGUUAGGACAGCCACCUGGUUUGAGGGUCUCAAUUCAUCCUCCUACAUGGGGUGUCGCCAUAGUUCCUGAGAAUGGUACUUUCACUGGGAGAUAGAAGGGCUGUGGAACAGUGUAUCAGGAGUUACAGGUGCAGUUGGUGUUUGAUUGGACUAGGGAAUAAGAACAGUUGUUAUCCAGGUUACCUCAGUUUCUCCUAUUUCAUAAACACUGAUAAUAUUGCAGAAGGAUUACAAAUUAGUGAACAAACAUUCUGUUACAAGUUACUCUUUGUGACUGUGGAUAAGCUUUUCUAACCAGAAACUUGUCUUAUGCUUCUUUGUAUUCUGUAAAGCCUAAAGGCCAGGGCAGCAAACUUGUCUUAAAUCAGAAUUUACCAUUAAAAAAUAAAUUAUACUUGGGAGCUCUGAUGUCCGUAAACAACCAGGGUUGAGAACCAUUGAUGUGAGCACAGUGUAGGUGUUCAGUAAAUGUUGAUUAAUUUGCUAUUGGUCCUGGAGUGAAUUGGGUAGUGUGGAAGAGAACCCAAAUUUUUUCGUAAAGUAACUUUCCAAGAUACCAAAACACAUCCAACAAAAGGCAGAUCUGGACCCAUAGUCAAUUCAUUGCUAGUUACUCUGCCAGCAUCAUCACCCUGAUUUUGUGAUCUAGGAAAGAUUAGAUACAGUCUUGUCAACAGGCAACUGAAAGUCUUGUUUAAGCCUUACUGACAACUAAGAGAAUUGCUAAAUGAAAGAAUUGUUGGGGAUUUGUGACAGGGAGGUAGGCUGGUGGACACCAAUGAUGCCAAGGGAAGAAGUGGAAAGUUGUAAUUUGACUGUGUCUUCAACACGUAACACAAUGUAUGGAACAUAAUUGGUGUUCCAUAGUUUCUGUUGACUUAAGAUAUGAGAUAGCUCUUUGGAAAGAGGCAUAUAAGCUGUAAAAUAAGGUACUUUUUACUCAUCCUUCAGAACUGAGCUAAGAUGCCAUCUAAUUUGUGAAUCAUUCUUAGGAAAAGUCGAGUGACUCCUUUUUAUGCUUUCUCCUUCAUUAAAGCAUUUAUCAGAUAUCAGACAAAUGCUAAAUAAAGCUUUCUCCUACCUGAUGAUGAGCUCUAUAAGGGCUGGAUUGUAUUAUUCUUUUCCCUUCCUUCCUUCCAUGUGUGUGGCAUGUGGAAGUUCCUGGGCUGGGGAUUGAACCCGUACAACAGCAUGACAAUGCCAGAUUCUUAAUCCGCUAUGCCACACACAAAGAACUCAUGUACUGUUCAUUUUUGUAUGUCUGGUGUGCAACAUACAAUAAAGGCUUAAUAGAUUUUAGCAAUGUUUAAGUCAGAUCUCUGUCUUUCAUUCUUGUAGGCUUUUCUUUCUUCCAAUUCAUGGUCUUUCCUUUUCUGUUCUGAUCAGCAAACAUUUAUUGAGAGGUAGGGCUUUCUUGGUCCCUGUGGAGGGGUUUCUCAUCCUUGGUACUGUUGACAUUUUGAGCCAGAUAAAACCCUGUAUUGUGAUAGUCUGUACUGUGCAUUGAAGGAUAUUUAGCAGCAUCCCUAGUCUUUACCCACUGCCUUGUAAAUCUGCACCCCCCCCCGUUUUGUGACAACCAGAAAUGUCUCCAAAAGAGUUCCUGCUGUGGCUCAGCAGGUUAAGAAGUUGAGUAGUAUCCAUGAGGAUGAGAGUUCCAUCCUUGGCCUUGCUCAGUGGGUUAAGGAUCCGACGUUGCUGUGAGCUGCAGUGUAGGUCGCAGAUACAGCUUGGAUCUGGUGUUGGUGUGGCUGUUGUAUGCCUGUAGCUGUAGCUCUGAUUCAACCCCUAGCCUGGAAACUUCCAUAUGCUGUCGGUGUGGCCCUAAAAAGAAAAAAAAAAAGUAUCCAGAUAUUGUCAGAUGUCCCUUAGGGAGCAAAAUUGCCCCCUGUUGAAAACGAUGUCAAGAGUAGGGAUAGUGGGGUCAUGGAAGUGAGUAUAGAUGUCCUCAGUGUGUGCUAUCCUUUCAUGGCUUCUGUCUGGUUAUAUAGGAUCUUGUUUCUGACUUUUAGAUAAGAAAGAAAAAUGAGAGAAAUCAGGAGAUGACAGCCUUAAAAUAGCCCCAUUAUUUUUAUUCUGUUCAAAUUUAUUUUAAUUUUUUUUUCCUGCUGUACAACAUGGGGACCAAGUUACACCUACAUGUAUACUAUUCUGUUGAAAUUUUAUUUGGUUUAACUGUAUUAGAGCAAUACAGACAGCUAAAUUAUUUAUGUAGAUUUAUGUAAAUUGUUUCUGCCACUGAUUAGAUGGAGUAAAGAACUAUUAGAAUAUUACUACCUUAAAUAAAAGACUGUUUCUCAGAAAAGCUAAUAACUGAAAAGUUUAACAUCCAAAGAAUAACCAGCAUUGGUUUUAUAGAGAAUUUGCCAGGACUUGUUAGGAUUCUUUGCUAAAUUUUGGGCUUCAUAGCUAAGAUAUAUUGUAUCUGUUAAUAUCCUUAGAUACUUUAUAACUCUAAAAAACAUGCUUAUCUAAUGGGCAUGUUUUUCUAAGGUCAGUAUUUUUCCUGAGAGGAAGAUUGGUCAAGGCAGUUGUCCUUUGGGCAUUCAUAAAAUAGUGACAAGUUAGUAGUAACACUGGGGAAUUUCACUCCUUUGGCCAACCCGCUGCAAUAUAAUCAUUCAUGUCUUAGUCACCAUUGAAGUGAAGUUGAAUGAGUGCUUUUUUUCCUGUUCCAUUUGAAGUUAUGAAUAGUACUCUAGAGAAUUCAAAUGUAUAGUUAUGAAUGGUAUCUCAGAAUAGUUACCAUUUAUGCAAAUGAAGCACACUUCUUAACUUAGAAACCAAACAGAAUUGAAUUAGAAAAGAGAAGAAUAGAAACAAGGAUUGUUGAAUGCUUGCAGAGGAAAUAAUGUUCAGAUAUAGAAGUAUGUCAGAAAAACUUGGUCUUCAUCAUGAUUUCUAUAUACUAAUAAAAACAGGUUGAGAUUGAUGGGAGAGACUAUUGAACUUUGCCUGUGAUAUUACUUUUCAGGCUGUUUUUCUUUUCAGGUAAAAUACAAAAACGUCUGAGACAUACUCUCUUAGUUGUAAGAUUAAUUCCAGUUGAACACAAUUGUUUCUUAUUUUUAGACUAUAGAGGCCCUUUUGGGAAGAAGCAGUGGUUCAACUCAGUUCCAAUUUGAGUGAAUAUGUGUGUACGUAUGAACACAUUCAUACGUACACACAUAUUUGUGACAUAG